rnacentral:lncRNA from 1 species
GAUCUGACUGGUAACCAUGAGGUUGUGGGUUCGAUCCCUGGCCUCGCCCAGUGGGUUAAGGAUCUGGCGUUGUCAUGAGCUAUGGUAUAGAUUGCAGACAUGGCUUGGAUCCCUUUGCUGCAGCUGUAGCUCCAAUUAGACCCCUAGCCUAGGAACUUCCAUCUGCCGUGGGUGCGGCCCUAAAAAGCAAAAAAAAUUAAAAAACAGCGAACAGACAGACAAGUAGGGGAAAGAGACCGUAAAUGUAUGUGUCUAGAAUGUGUUGGGUGAUGUGCAGGGAGAUAAGCAGGGAAUGGGGGGGAGGGGGCUCGUUUAGAUCAGGGGUCCAGGAAGGCCGUGCAGAGAGUGGGGAGGAAGGUGAGGAGAGAGCAUCUAAGCAGAAGGAAGAAGAGGCUCAAACGCCGGUGAGGCUGUAGCCACACAGGGUGUCAGGUUUGCGGGAGGUGGAUGCGCUGGAGCUCAGCUGUAGGCGGGGAUCAGGUUGGGUAGAGAUGGGCUCAGAGGGAGGCGGGGCUGGGGCACGCAGAGCGGGGCAAGAACGUGCAGCUGGUGAUCUAGGGAACUUGCGGAUUUCCCGCGCGGGCAGGCCUGGUACCACCUGACUCGGGGCCUUAAGGACUCAGCCGUCACUCCCCUUGUGUUGCUGCUGCAGACAGAAUCUGCUCUCUUUCCUGCUGCCCUGGAAGCUCUGUGAGGACGGGGGCAGGGGCUGGCUCCAUCGCUGUUGUGCCCACCCCCCCUUGAGCUCAUCAUCCCUGCGUCCUAGAAGGUGCCUAAUAAACGUGUUAAGUGGCUCCCCGCCCAGCUUGCUUCCCCCAAGACUCCACAGCCAUUCCCAAUCAGAGGGGUCCCCUCCUGUGUGGCGUGACCCCUCCCUUGCAAAACGACCAGCCAGGAGGAAGCUCCGCACCCAGGCCUGGCAUGCGCUGGGCCGGUACAUCCAGGUCCCUGAGGGGCACGAGCAUGUUCUCUGCUCCUCACACCCCUCCUGGGCAUGGGGGUUACAAGUCAGGACAGACCCCGCGGCACACAGCUGAUGUCCCGUGGGCAGGAUACAUGUGGAACUGUCUCUCCUUCUCUCUCUCGAGCUAUCUGAGUUUCUCACCCUCUUGUCCACUCCUGAACAAACCUGGGGUCUUCUCUGCAGCACCCCACCCCACACUACUGUGGAUCAUGACCGAGAGUGUACCUGGCCUGCUGCUGGCGCUGCCGGGGCUUGGGUGAAGGGCUGCCCUGGGUACCGCGUACGCGUAUGGAUUCUGGGGGUUUGUUUGAAAGGAUGACCUUUUGUUGGUGGAGUAAUUUUAGUUUUAGCUGGCACCCAAGACAAAGCGGUCUUUCAACACACCCGCAGCCUAUAGGCAGCCAGGACUUUUUCAAUGAGUUGGCAGGAAAUUUGCCAAGUCGUUUGGGGCCUGUAAAUUAGGCCUUGUUUAAAAAUUUAGAUAAAGCCCAAUGUGAGAGAGAAAUGCUUUCAUAACAUUAAAUGUGAAUUACCCUGAAAACCCCUUUCAAGUUAAAUGGAACCGUUCUCGGGAAGCACAGAGACAUGAAAUGCCUCAAAUGUCAAAAGAGUUUUCAUUUAUUGUCCCAAGUGAAACGAAGGCGUUUUAUGUGGUUUAAUAGUUCAGAUGCACAUGUAAAUGGAAUUCAUUUGGAGAAUGCCGGGUCUGUUUCGGAAUCUAUUUUCACAAACCUGCCUGAUUUCGUUUCAUCUCCACAGUAACCCUGCAAGGGGUGGGUCCCACCGUCCCCGUUUCAGAGCUGAGGAGAGCCUCUCCUGUCAGUGUCAGCAGCAUUUUUGCCACUGCCGUGUCGAGCUUCCAUCAUUAAUUCGUAACAAGGCUGGAAGUGGUGUCAGAUCUUACCCAUUCGUCCUGAAGGCACUGGUCAUCGGACCAUCUGGAGGGAUCUCGUGGAAGAGCAGUGAGAGGUGUUGGGGUUGCCUUCUGUUUAUUUGUGAGUGUCUGCGUUGUGAGAAGCAUUGCUUCGUUUUCUGAGAGCCUUUUCCUUGCAUCGGUUUGCCUCAUCCACUGCUGCUCUCCACGGCAACCCCCCAUCUGGGUUGGGUGGUCCCUUUGAUGCAUGACGGUGUCACUUCCAAUGCGGUCUUAGUUGCAAAGAAUAGAAAUUUGAAGAGAAACUGGCUGAGAUGGUCAGGGUCCCCCAUGACCGAAACCAUCAAAGGCCAUGUGCAUUCCAGCACAGUCCCAUGCUGCAGCCUGGCUCUGGUGGCCCAGCCCUGCCGCAUCUUUGCCUCCAUGGCAGCCUUUUCCCUUCCUGCCCCCAGAUGGCUGCCACUGGCUCUGGGAUCCCUUGCUUCCUUGCUCACACUCGAGGGACAGGAGCUCCUCUGUCCACCCUUUGAGGAAAGGUCCCACUCUCGGGUCUGAUGGGACCCACCUCCCACACUGCCCCUGAAGCCAGGGUGGGACAAAGGGGGAAGGAGGGCCGUGGGCUGGGUUAUGCUGGUUACUGAGACCUGAGCCUCUGGCUGUGAACCCGGUGGCAGGCUGGCUAGUACAUGGUUAGCCACUGGCUCACCAAGAAACAAACACGCAAAAAGUAACAAUGACAACAGCAAAAAGAAAAAUGCAGCAUUUGCCGAUUCCUAUAGAGUCACCACCCCUGCUGUGGAUGGUUUUAGGCAGGCAGUGCGGCGUACCUGGACAUGCUGCUAGGGACAGAAAUAGACUGUUGGCUCUCAAGCCAGUGAGCAGUGACCCGUCCCCUGAUGUUGCUGGCACACAGAGGGCAGGAUGGAUGCUCAAACCAAAAGCAGAGCGAGGGGCAAGACGUGGACGUGGGGCCACUCUAUGUGAGCUGUGCCUGAGCUGCCCCAGGCUCUCCCCUGGUGCCUUGUUCAGGCUGGUCCUGCACAGUCCAGCCAAUGGCUGGUGGGUGUUUCCUGCCACUUGGCAACAGUGUGGACAGUGGAGAGAAAAUAACUCAGACUAAAAAGUCCAGGGUCAGGCUGGGGCCCCGGGACAAGUCCUUUAGCUGUUCUCAGUACCCUCAAGCAUAAAAGAUUACAGGAAUAACCUCUCCCCCAAAGGGCCAUGGCAAAGAUUCAGUGAGAUGCCAGCUGGGGCCAUGCUUUAAAAACCAUCAAGUGUUCUGUUUAUACAGCUGAUCUUUGAACAACUCAGGGGUUAGAGUUUUGCUGUCUCUGCCUCAAAAACAAAGGAAUUGAUACAUGACUCACCCAAGGGCAGGAAGGGAAAACAUUUGGGUAGAAUCAGGAUUCAAACCCUUGUUCUUUUGAUUCCAUAUAUGGUGUUUGUUAAUCAAACAGAAACUUUGCCCCAACUUAGUUCAUUUAAAGAUCUGCAAUAUCAAAAUAAAGAUGCCAUAUUUAUGAAAAAAAAAAUCCACAUUUGAGGGAGUCCAAGUGGUUCAGAGCUGUGUAGUUCAAGGGUCGGUAGUUAUACGUAGAAGAUGUGUCCAUGAUUCCUCUCUGGUCCAUUCUCCACCCCACCUGGACCACAGUUCAACACUAGUUUGGUCCAGCAGACAAACCAUGAACUCUGAAGUCAGACAGGCCUGGGCUCAGAUUGCAGCACUGCUGGUUAUGAGCUCUGUGGCUAUGGGGACGACACUUAACCUCUCUUAAACUUUGUUUCCUCAUCAAUAAAAAGGAUAAUAAUGUCACCCUUAUCUGAAAGGGUUAUUGCCAAAAAUGAGUAAGAUAAAGCAGUUAGGCGCACAGUAAAUGUAACAGUUUUGUAAUGUAAUUUCAUUAGUAGUACACACUAAUCAGCCCCCACCCCAAAUCCAUUGCUCUUCUGGCAGAAGCCCCCAGUUUUGGUUUGAAGAGCCAUCUCUCCCUGACGUGUAGGCUCUCAGGUUUAUGGAACAUCCUUUACUCCCCAACCCCCACCCCAUUUGACAUUCUGCUGUUUAAGCCAAAUAGAAGUUACAUCGUCUGACCACCAGUAUUGGUUUAGAUGUCCAAGCAGAAUAAAUCCAGGAGCUUCUAUGGAAGCUGCUAGGAAGUGACCCUCUCUGCACUGGGACCUGGGACUAAAAUGGUGGAGCUGUUGCAUCCAUUUUGCCACCAUGAGGUACAAGCAAGCGAUGUGGGAGCUAACAUAGUUUGAGCCUGAAUCAAGUCCCUCAUCUUUGGGUAUUUCAUUUGCAUACACCCAUAUAUCCUAUGUAUUUUUAAGCUAGUUUAGGCUGGGGAUCUUCAUCAAUUGUAACCAAAAGAGUCCCGUUUGAUACAUCACACCUGGAGAAACUGGGCCUCGGAAAGGUCUCGCAGGCAGAAAGAGAUGGCAACUGUUGGUGAGAAGUGGAGCAGAGACAUGGGCCAGCCCUCUGGCUCCAGAUCCUGUGACCCCCCCCACCCCAGGGCUCAGCUGUUCCCUCCACAGGGUGGUUCUCCAGCCUGCAGCUGGCAGCUCUGGCAGGCACAGUGGAGAAGUGUGACUCCAGAUUGUGUGCAUCACAACUUCUCCCAUGGCACUGCAUCCUGGGAGGAAGCUCCAGCACACGGACAGUGGCUGCCCUGCAUUGCUGAGGAAGCUGUGGAUAAAAUGCACCUUUGGGGUUGUGUGUCUGAAGCGCUCUGCUAUUUUGUAAAGGAAGAAAGAAAAGUGAGAGACCUGGGGCGGGGGGCGGGGGUCACCUCUCUUAAUAUCACACCACAGAUUCUGGCAAGCACGUGCGAGUUUUUCAUAAAUGUUAUUUUGAUUGGAUUCAGAAGUUUGGAGAUGACAAAGUGACACAUUUUCACAGUUCCCUGUCAAACCAAAACGUGAUUGCCAAACUGUUAAGUUAAAAAAAGGCAGGAAAGGGAGCAGCUUUAUAAAGCAUCCCCAUCGCAAUUUCAAGUUGCUCGGGGGCUUUGCUCCCAUUCUCAUGCCCCCAUUAUCAUUUACAGGUAUACCCCACUUAACGUAGCUGCUGCUGUCUGGGGUGGGGUGCAUCUCAGGGAAUGUUUGCAAUAGUGUUUCAUUUAUAACCAGUGAAAACCUGUUAUAAAUGCAUCGUUGGUCGGGGAGGGGGAACUUGUUAUUUUAAAGCAAACUUUUAUGAAGCAUAACACCUCCUUAGCAGUCACUUUUUAAGGGAAUUAGAUGUGAAUCUUUUUGUAAAUAGAAGAAUCCUUUUAUGGGGAAAGAUUUACCCUGCUGUUUACACCAGAAAAUGCUUCUAUGGUAAAAGCUACUCUAGCAACAUACGAACAAGGAAGGUAUAUCUAUGUUAAAAGAGUAAGUGGGGGAGUUCCCGUUGUGGCUCAGUGGUUAACGAAUCUGACUAGGAACAAUGAGGUUGUGGGUUCGAUCCCUGGCCUUGCUCAGUGGGUUAAGGAUCCAGCAUUGCCAUGAGCUGUGGUGUAGGUUGCAGAUGCGGCUGGGAUCCCAAGUUGCUGUGGCUCUGGCAUAGGCCGGAGGCUACAGCUCCGAUUCGACCCCUAGCCUGGGAACCUCCAUAUGCCACGGGAGUGGCCCAA